GCAGUGUAAAUUUGAGGUUUCCAGCAGCAAUCAACCCUUGUUGGCAGUAACAAACCUUCAGUGGAUCAGUGAUACUUGCUGUGAAUUUAGGUUUAUCGGUUUGGGAGAUUGGCAAUUUAAUCUUGCUCCGACUGUUGAUUUACAGUAGCAACGUUUCCAACCAGAUUUGGACAAGUUGUAGAGGACCUUGACGCGAGACGGGUAUCUCGGCGUCGGAAUUUGACCGGAUACGAUCCUUUCUA